rnacentral:rRNA from 1 species
UCCCGGCAGUCCGAGUCGCAGCCACAAUUAUUGGGUCUAAAACAUCCGUAGCUUGCUUUAUAAGUCUCUUGUGAAAUCUGGCCUCUUAAGGGUCGGGCGAGCAAGAGAUACUGUAGAGCUAGAGACCGGAGGAUGUGAGGAGUACAAUCGAGGUAGUGGUAAAAUACGUUAAUCUCGAUUGGACUAACGACAGCGAAGGCACCUCACAACGACGGAUCUGACAGUGAGGGAUGAAAGCUAGGGGC